CAGGGCUAAUCUUCCUAAAAAAAUAAAGGAUAAAAAUAAUAAAAAAUUUGACAGCUGCAUAGAGAAUGAUAACAGCACCCCCAGAUGUCAGGCUGUAUAUCUGGGUUCAUCCCAUCCCUGCCACACAGAGCCUCAGCCAGUCGGUAUAAUAAUAGCAGCCACUUCAUAAGACGGUUGUGAGACUCAACCGAGAUCAUACAUAUAAAUUAGAGUUGCGCCUGACUUAUACUGAACCAUUUUUGUCAUUAUUAUCACUGUCAUCAUCAGAUGGAUUUGCUGGCAAAUUUGGGUAGUUGCCAUAUUAAUCUUUGAAUUCCUUUAGCAUAAUUCAGGCUCACUUAUUGGAUUAAGGGGCAAAACUCUGCAGAUUUUAAAUUAGACGGUCUCUCUGGGAAGGAAAUGAAAUCGUUUAAUAUCACAGGAAGAGUGGGAGUUUUAGCAUCAGUCAGAUCUGGGUUCAAACCCCAGCUUUGUCACUGGCUUUUCUGAGCAUCAAUUUCCUCUUCUGUAAUAAAGGGAUAACUGUAAGUGUCUGAGAGGGCUCUUAUGCAGAAGAAACCAUAACACUGAAAAAGAUGCCCAGCCAAGAGCCUGGCACAGAGUGGGUGCUCAAGAAAUGUUGAUCUCCUUCCGUUUAUGGACUAUAUAAUACCCAGGAAUCAAAUUACGUACUUGCAGCUUUUAUUUUGAAUACUAGAGUUAAUGUUUGAUUUCUUACACAUGGUUUAAUAUUGAGCAUUCAAAUUAUAGAUGGAAUAAAAGGUAUGUGUUCCAAAAAAUUAGCAUGCAAACCCACAAACAGUCUCAGAAGUUGAAUUUUACAGCUCCACGUUAUUUUGGCUGGGAAAAUGGAACUUUCACCCAGCUCAUAAUCAUUUAGACCUAGUCCAUUAGUCACCUCAUUUUUCACUGAAACUAGUUUUCUGGGAUCAGUUGGACUCUGAUUAGAAAUGUUAUGCAUUCACAUCUGGCAGACUUGGGAAGGAAUCUUAUUGUGAGUAAUGAACAAGUCCCAAAAACAAGGUGAAAGAAAUCCUGUCUCUAGUUAGGUGCCAUCAAUUAGACAGGAUUGGGGGAAAUAGUGACAGCAAACAAACGAAAAACAACUUUUGAAGCACUCUAGACUCUGGCUCUGUCAGAAAGUUCUAGAGUUUCCGGGCACAAUGAAACCACAGUGACCCAGAUGUUGAGAGGCCUCAGUGCAGAAAUAGAAUGUACACAAAAGUCGCAUCAUACGCUGCCCACUGAUAGACGUCGGGGUCCAUGUUGAGUCCUGAGUAGGAGGCAGUUACAGGUAUCAAAGUAGGAGUGUGACUCAACUAGAAGAGGAGUGAAUGUCAACAAAAGUGAAAAUCAAAGUCUCACCUUGACUCAUGAAGCCCGAUGACUGCCCCACUCCCGCCUCAUCUCCUCCUACUCUCUUUCGUCCAGCCAUACUUGCCAGGCAACACUGAAAAUUGGACUUCAAGUUGAACUGAAGAUGUGGCCAAUGCUUUUCUCCCUCAGUGAAGUUCAUCUUUUGAAGCCGUGAUGAGAAUGUGAAAGGCAGCACCUGGGUCCAUUUCUACAUGUGCAGAAUGCUAGGAAAUUUCCCCUAUGUACCGCCUUCUUGCCUUCACUUCUUCCUCUUCAGCCUUUUUCUCCUCUUCCUUUAAUUAUUGAAAUAUGGUACUCUUUACUAUAAUAGCUGCCCCUUCCACAAUACAUCACCUUAUUUUGCUUUUCCUGAAGACUCCCAGGUAUCUGUCUGUUUGACCUGUUUCUUGCCCUGACCCCUGUCUCUUGCUCUGCUCCACUACAAUUCCUCUCCAUUCUUUAUUCUCGUGUUCAGUUUUGCAUGUUUAAUCUCUUCCACUCCUUUCAGGUAUCUCUCAUAAAGGAGUUUCUGUUGGCUCACAACUUAGGUUGGGCCAAAAGGCAAGAAAUGAGAUUUCACCAAUGAAGAUUUCAGGAGCACCCACUAUCUAUGAAGUACAUCAUUCUUCUGAAAGGGACAGCUUAUCUCAUUGACCAUUCACGACAUCAGGCCACACAGAAAGCACAUCUAUUUGUUCACAAAUAUUUUCUGGUCUCCUCGAAUGCCCUGGAUGCUGUUCUGAGCACUGGAGAUGGAAUAGACAAGGAAACAAAGACCCUGAUCUCAGGAAGUUUAAAUUCCACUAGGGGAGUCAAUGUAGCUAAAUGAGCAUACGUAUGUAAACUUGUGUACACAGGCAGUGCUGAGUGACGCGAAGAAAAAGAAAUCAGGGAAGAAUAGAGUGAAAAGGGUGCAGUUUGGUCAAAAUUCUCUUUGAGGAGAUGACAUCUGAGCAGGGACCUCAGUGAAGUGAGGCAUAAAUUGUAUGGAAAACUAGGAGAAAAGUGUUCCAAGGCAAAUAAAACAUCAGAUACAAAAGUCCUGAGAUAUGAAUAUUUGUGUAUUUAAGGAACAAAUACAGAGUCUAGAGAGAGAGCAGAAUGAGUGCAGGGGGCAGUGGCGGGGAUGAAGAGAGUUUUUCACAGCACUUAUCAUCCAUGAGAUAUGGAAUUUUUGGGGUUUUGCUGUUGUUCCUUGCCAGUCUCUCGUCUGUGGCAGCAGGGACUGUGUUAUCUUCACCUCUGUACCUCCUGUGGUGGUAACCAUGCCUGACACAUAGUAAGUCUAAAACAGGCUUUGGAGUCAGAAAGUCUUUAUUGCAAAUCCCACUCCACUACUUAAUAUCUGUACAUUCUGGGCAAAGCAUUUAAACUCCUUAAGCAUCAGUUUUCAUAUUUGAAUUGAUACUAAGAAGCCCAAACAGGAAGGUUGUCAGAUGGAGGAAAUUCAAUACACCAUGUAAAGCCCUUAGGCCAGAGCCUGUUGAUGGUAAUUGCUCAAUAAAUGGUGGUUGUAGCUGGGUUAUAGAUGGUUGACAGAGUUCUAGUGGCUACAUAAGUGUCUGAGGGACACGAUGCUGAUCUCUAACUUGUAAUACCUGGAAAAUUUGUUUGGCAGAUGAUAAAUAAUUUGGGGGGCUGCUCUUUCUAGUUUAUCACUUCUUAAAAAUCUAACAAGUCUCCUUUGUUGGUAGCCAUCACAUGGAUCAUAAACUAAAAUGCUGCUCAGAAUAGCAUACAGUCUUUGGAAAAGAUCUUUUAUUUGGUCCUAGAUGGUUGGCUAGUGUGAACUGGGACUACGUUCUGCUUUCAAUUAUAACCAAUUUCCCUUGCUCCCUGAGAGGUAUGAGGGAGAGCAAAUAGCACAUUGUGUAGUAAUUGCUGGUUUGCUGGUUUAGACUGAAGGCCUUUGGGUGGUUUUCAAAUGGCUGUUUGAUAUUCAUUAUUGAAUUUCUACCACCUGAGGUGCAUUUACCAUAAAACGAGCAUAGUUUAGGCUUCAGCUUCCUCACCUGCAUUGUCCCUUUACUUGGGGACUCUGACAAAAAUUCACAUGGCCAUUUAUUUUUAGUAAAAUUUGCAGAAGACAUUUUAACUACAAUCAGUUAAACUUACAGAUCUUUCCCCACUGACUUUCCCUCUGUCACACUCUCCCUCAUGUUGAGUAGUGUUAUGGCUAGGAGUGAUUUUUGGAUUCAGCUAAGGGAGAGUUGAGCUGUAUCUAUAUUCAAAUUUAGUUUAAUGAGAAAUAU